GGUCAAAUCAUCAUGCCUCUUACAUCUAGGGCUACAGGCGUGCUACAAUGGCUGGUACAACGAGUCGCAACACAGUGAUGUGAAGCAAAUCUCUUAAAGCCAGUCCCAGUUCGGAUCGGAGUCUGCAACUCGACUCCGUGAAGUUGGAAUCGCUAGUAAUCCCGAAUCAGAAUGUCGGGGUGAAUACGUUCUCGGGUGUU
rnacentral:rRNA from 1 species